ACAGCAAGCCACAGGAUCCCUGAGGCAUCCAGUUUGCAACUGCACUGUACAGACAAAAUGCAUUGAACAUCUCUUCUCAGCUGCUCCAGCUAUUUCCAUAUCCUCCUCAGUGAUCCUCACAGUAGCUCCAAUCUAGUUUUCUGCUUUAAAAGCCAUUUGUGAAUCCAGAUGGAAGGAUUCUGAAAUCCUUUCAGAUGAUUUCACAAGUGCCACUAAAGAAAGGAGGAGAAUGCAUCAACCUGGACAACAUCUAUAUCAUCCCUCUCCACAAACAAAGGCCUGCUUCCUGAGGAUGUCAAGCACUUCACAAAUAUCAAUGAACCACAGAAGUUAGGUAGCUGUCAUUAUCUCAAUUUUACAGUACAAAAACUCAGGCACAGAGCGGUUACGUGACUUGCCCAAAGUCACACAAGGAAGUCAAUGACAGAGAUGGGAACAGAAGCCCAGAGCCAAUGACUCACAAGAUCAUCCUUCUUCUGUAUAGACUAUAGAAUUUCCAGCAGACUAAAAGGCCCUGCUACCACAAAGAGUACUGCAUGGACAGAGUGAUCUGCCCACAUGGUUUUCUUUGCAGGAAUGGGAACCAGUUCUGCUAUAAUGUACAUUAUGGAGGACAUGACUUUUGUUUAUCCUAACAAUGUUUUCACUAUGGCAAAAAAAUCAAAAGACCAGAUUCUCGGUCCUGCCUUGCUUCCUUUGUACCACUCAGGCAACACAAAAGGAACAGAAACAUGCCCCAAUAUGAGGAAGUUCCUAGCAGGCACAGGAUGCAGCUCCAUUGCCUGUAGUCCUUCGUCCCUCCAGCCCAUGGCUUAGGGCACAUUCCGGGAGGGGAAGAGUGUUUUGAGACCUGGGGAGUGUCCAGAACACAAUGUAUUCUGGCAAUCCCCAGCUGCCUAUGAUCCUCACAGGGAUGAGCCCAUGUAGUUUAGGGCAGCUCCCAGGCUGCUCUAUCUCAUGCCUAGGAUUGGGCAGAGAAUUAGCAGGCUGUAAGUAGUUCCUUGAUGGAAGUAAAAAGAUAGUGGUAGUCUUCCCAGUGCUACCUGCAAAAUAAACUCUGCCUCCAUCAGAUGCCACCUACAACAGAUUGUGAAGAUAUUCCAAAUAAGAUCACACAUGGCACUGGGCUCAUUAUGUUAUUCUCCUCUCUCAAUGGAGUCCAAAUACACCCAUGUGCUUUGCUAGCACAUCAGGCUUUGUUUCCCUUCCAUGAGGCUUGUAUAGCCCCGUGUGCUUCUUGAUCGUGGCUCUCCCUGCAUUCUGCUAGGCUACUUGGCCUUGGCUCCUUCAUGACUGUGGGGUAGGGGGGAGGUUGGAGCUGAAUUCUCUCCCAAACCAUUUCUUACAUACUUUGAUGAACAGUGAAAUAGCCAAUGAUGUUAGUAUUUAAUAUAUCUCACUGGCAUUGGAGUUAGCACUGAAAGGGCUGGAGCAAGGCAUACCAAACAGCUAUUUGGUGGCAUAGCAAG